rnacentral:rRNA from 1 species
CGGACGGGUGAGUAACACGUAGGUAUCUGCCUCAAGGAGGGGGAUAACACCGGGAAACUGGUGCUAAUACCCCAUAUGUCUUUCGAGAUGAAAGCUCCGGCGCCUUGAGAUGAGCCUGCGGCUGAUUAGCUAGUUGGUGGGGUAAAUGCCUACCAAGGCGACGAUCAGUAGCUGGUCUGAGAGGAUGAUCAGCCACAAUGGAACUGAGACACGGUCCAUACUCCUACGGGAGGCAGCAGUAGGGAAUUUUGCGCAAUGGGCGAAAGCCUGACGCAGCAACACCGCGUGUGGGAUGAAGCUUUUCGGAGUGUAAACCACUGUCAGUGGGGACGAAUAAAUGACGGUACCCACAGAGGAAGCAUCGGCUAACUACGUGCCAGCAGCCGCGGUAAGACGUAGGAUGCAAGCGUUGUCCGGAAUUAUUGGGCGUAAAGCGUUCGUAGGCGGCAUGCCAAGUCUGAUGUCAAAGCCCGGAGCUCAACUCCGGUUCGGCAUUGGAUACUGGCAAGCUAGAGUGCAGGAGAGGCAAGGGGAAUUCCUAGUGUAGCGGUGAAAUGCGUAGAUAUUAGGAGGAACACCAGUGGCGUAAGCGCCUUGCUGGACUGUAACUGACGCUGAGGGACGAAAGCCAGGGGAGCAAAUGGGAUUAGAUACCCCAGUAGUCCUGGCCGUAAACGAUGGAUACUAGGUGUCGCGGGUAUCGACCCCUGCGGUGCUGCAGCUAACGCAAUAAGUAUCCCGCCUGGGGAGUACGCACGCAAGUGUGUAAACUCAAAGGAAUUGACGGGGAUCCGCUCAAGCGGUGGAACAUGUGGUUUAAUUGGAAGCAACGUGAAGAACCUUACCAGGGCUUGACAUCCCGAGAACUUUCCAGAGAUGGAUUGGUGCCCUUCGGGGAACUCGGUGACAGGUGGUGCACGGUUGUGGUCAGCUCGUGUCGUGAGAUGUUGGGUUAAGUCCCGCAAUGAGCGCAACCCUAGUUGAUUAGUUUCCAGUAAGAGCCUGCUCUUGCUGUGCUCUCUAGCGAGACUGCCGGUGAUAAACCGGAGGAAGGUGGGGUCGACGUCAAAUCAUCAUGCCCCUUAUGUCCUGGGCUACACACGUGUUACAAUGGGUAGGACAGCGAGCAGCCAACCAGCAAUGGUGAGCAAAUCUCUUAAA